rnacentral:lncRNA from 1 species
GGGGGGGGGAGGAGGAGAGAAGUUGACUUUCCUUUGGAGCUGCUGGUUGUUUUUUUUUAAAAAAAGUGUUCAGCUUAUUAGUAUAAAGGAAGUCAACAAUAGAAUAUAACUUUGCCUGGAGAGCAGGAGGAAAUGAUGAAUGGGAAUAAUACACAGCUCAUCCUUGAUUCCUGUUCAAAAUAUGUUUCCUUGUAACAACACAGAAGUUUAGCUGGAUAAGUUCAAUGCUGCUUAAACAACAAAGCACUGCAUGUUUCCCUAAGUAGGAUUUUUGUUUAGUUCUUGCAAAUGGAAGGUUAAAGACAAACACAUGUUUAUUCUAUCACAGGCUCUCCCAACUCACCAAUUGCUAAUCAAGAAUGCAUCCAUACAAAAACAUUUCCUCCAUAGAAAGCUAGCAUAAGGGAAAAAAGGAAUGCUACCAGGGAACUCUGGGAAGGAUAAACUUAUGAUUGGGCAAGCCCAAUUUUUUAAGGUACAAAACAUCUGCCAUUGUGAGAAUUUGGCCCAAAAUGCUUGCUAUGUUGAAUGUUUACUUUUUCAGAGCUUGAUUAGUUAGUAAACCUAUUCACCCCAUCUCCAUUAAUAAGUUCCACAAACUUUGAAAUGCAUUUAUUUCCCUAUGAUUAUUCGGGUUUUGUUUUUUUGCCUGCCUUAAGGUUAAUGUGGCCUUGCAGUGCUGCCAGGACAUCUACAAAUGCUAGCUAGAAUGCAGUGCUGCUACCCACAUGUUGAACAAAGCUCGGGACUGACUUUUAAGUACUGAAAUUAAUGUUCGCUCAUUGCUAGUCUGUAGGCAUGCCACCAAAGGCAGUUCCCAUUAUUUCAGAGAGAGACUCUGGCCUUUGGUUUUGUGGCUGUGGUUUCUAUAGAUUAGUAUUUGGUGGUUGGGUAAUUAGACAGUCAUUUUUAUAGGAGGCCUUGGUGACAGGCAUAGACACCUUCCUGGAAAAGCUAAGAAACAGAACUUGCUUGAAACUUUACAAAGUUUAGAAGCUGGCAUUCUGGUUUGCAAUGGUGCUGUUAUAAUAUUUGCAUGCAAGUGUAUGCAAUGAACCCAAUACCUAUGCAAGCAGCAUCUCUAUGGUGCCCUAUGGAUGUGGACUCUAGAUGUGUUGCUCUGGCCAAGAUGGCCAAUAGUCAUGGCUUAUGGGACUUCUAUUCCAUAACAUCUGGAGGGCACCAUGUUGACUACCCCUGCCUUUCAGGCGUUCAUGACCUGUGGCACCAGUUUGGAAUGCAGGCAGUAUUGGGGUCUGCUGUGCUUGACAAUUCCCCAAUGCUUGUUCUGUUUCUGCCUGCUGGGGAAUGCAGAAUGUGCAUACCUGUGCCUGCAUUCACCUUGAUUGUGGGCAAGUUUGCCAUCUAUUGGAUUUGACUUUUGCAGUAGUAAUAAAUUGCAUUCCUUCUAUCCCUGAAACAAGCGUGUGUUAUAAUAGUGCUCAUUAAUUUGUGUAGCUCCUUAGAUGAAUAAAAGAGCUUCACAUACUGUAGAUCAGGCACGUCCAACAGGUAGAUUGUGGUCUACCAGUAGAUCAUUGGAUGCCUGUGGUAGACCACUGGCUCCCCCCAAAGAAGCUCAACAGGGCUUUCCUCCCUAAAAAAAAGCCCAAUAUGACCUGAACCCCUAAAAAACAGGCUUUCUCCCUAAAAAAAAAAGCUCAGCUCAACAAUUUUGACUUGAAGCCUCCCAAAAUGGGGUAGAUCACUGCCAGCUUUUAACUCUGAGUAGGUCGCAGUCUCUUGGGAGUUGGCCACCCCUGCUGUAGAUUAUGUCAUUACAAAAACCCUUUAAGGGAAACCAGAAUUAUACUCAUCAUGUAAAUGGACCCAAGCAAGACAAUGCCUUAGCUGUAUGGCACAUAACAGAGGCAAAUUCAAACCAUGGACUUGGGAGAAUUUUAGCCUGGUCUCUUAAGUACAGCACUAGAUAUUGAAAAUCAAACUUUCCCCCUAAAAAACAAAAUGUAACUGCCUAAAUACCUGAUCUGGGACGGUUUUAUUCUCUCCCCUGCAGCCUGUAUUCUAUCUUCUAGCCCUUUUCAUUAACAGGCGCUGGGUGUGAGUCAUAGCAGCACAGUUUGGUGUUUCCUGAUUGGGAUGUGAAGCCAGAAAAGCAGCUGUUUCGUAUUACACACAUUUGGUCUAGCGUUCAGCUAUUUUUGUGGUGUGCGCUAAAAAGAUCAGUACUGGUGGUCAAAUUGCAGCCUGUGCCACGAAGAUAUUUUAGAACCAAUUGUUUGCUCUUGAAACCAUUCUAACACUUGCAUGCGUUGCUAAGAUAUAUCGGAAUUAGCAGAGGCAGGUAAAACAGGCCCAGGUGUAUCAGCUUCCUGCUGCCUUAUGGUGACGUCCAGUGCAUCUAGCUUCUUGUAGGAAGUUUGGAAUGCUGCAUUCUUAUGGCAAAAGAAUCAUGGUCUAUACUAUGCCAUGAAAUUCCAUUAAGGUACGGCCUUUUGUACCUUUGCAGUCUUCCCUGGCCUGGCACCAUUCAGAUGUUUGGGACUGCAACUCCCAUCAGUUCCACUGGCCAUGCUGGCUGGGGCUGGUGGGAGUUGUAGUUCAGAACAUCUGGAGGGUGGCAGGUUAAGGAAAGCAGCCUUAGGUUGUCAGUAAGGGGAGCUGCAUUGGAGUACGUUCUGAAGCACCAUUGGAAUUCGAGUCCAACAGCACCAUACAGUUAAUGCACAUGUCUCCAAAGAAUACUGGGAACUAGUUUAUUAAAAAUGCUGGAAACCGUAGGUCUGGGGAGAAACUACAGUUCUCAUGAUUCUUUGGGAGAAGUCAUGUAUUGAAUGCACCGUAAAUGUGUGCUGUGGAAUGUGGAUCUGCCCUAGUUAGAUCUCAGGCCAUAAUGAAGAAUAGUUCCAUGCACUUUAAAGAAAACAUUUCAGCUCAGCCUUCCACAACUUGCUGCCUUAGAGUUCUGGAUUUUCACCAUAACACGGUGAAGGGAGAUUAUCACGGCUGUUGGUAUAAGGAUUCCUAAGGCUGAAAGCUGCCUGCAGAACACACUUGCAGUCGUAUGUGUUUCUGGGAAAGCAUCAUAAAGAUUUUCUGUAUCUUUGGGAAGUGGGAACUCAGCCCAAGGUAUAAGCUGUAGGGGAGGUUUCAAAGAUUCUGGGCAUUAAGUGUUGUGCAGAAGAGGCAAGAAGUUUGCCCAAAGGAGCCUAAAGGAAGGAGGAACUUGGGGACAUAGGAUGCCGCCUUUAUACUGAGUCAGGCCCAUUAGUUUAUCGCAAGGCAGCGUACUUACCGGUCCCCAACAGGGGUACCAACUUGAAUAAAAUUAUGGGGGUGGGAGGCUGGACAGGUUGGCGUUGGCUUCUAUGGAGACUCCCCAAGGAGUCUCCCAUCUACUCACUGAUCAGACAAUUACUGCCAUACCCUACCUGUUGCAAUGUCAAGCACUUCACUAGUCAGUAAUAAUCACAUUUCUUGUGUCAGGUGGUUGCUUUGCUGCAGAGAAGUGUCCGAAAUGUGCCCAGCAGGGUGCAGUUCCUAAGCGAGUACCUGUAAAAUAUAAAGCAAAUGCAUGGUUGAUCUAGAUGAGCAUCGCUCUGUGGUACAGCAUCUCCUUUACACAUAGCAGGCUAUGAUGCUAUGGAGCAGUUGUAUAAUUCGGCGCAAUACACUUCCUUAUAUCAGGGUCAAGGGAGCCCGUGGCUGUCCGUCAGCCCCAGCCGGUGCAGCCAAUAAUCCAAGGCGAUGGGCAUGGUGCAGGUUUCAUGCUGCUGCUGCUGCCUUAGAGAAGCAAGGGAGAGUUAAAUGGAGCUGCCCAUCAGGCCUGGCGUUGUUGGGUAGGCAGGUCUAACCCAUCAGGGCUAUGAGGAAAGGACUAAUAAAGCACAUGUACCGCUACCCUUGAAAGCAGUGGGUUUCUUCCCACGUGGAGCUUAAGUUCUUACGUAAGGCCGCCUUUGCUCUUUCCGUGGGAUUGCUGCUGUUCUUUGGCCAAUUCGGCAAAGCCGAGGAGCAGCUGUUUUUAACCGUGCUCCAGUUCCUUUGCAUGAAUUAAGGGCCGUUUGAAGGUUGCAAGUCUUGGGAAAGCGCCGUCAGCUUCCUUUUCUAAAGCAAGCAUGGAAAGGAACUAAGGGCUGCAACCAAACUGGCUGCUUUUUCCCUUUCAGACUAAAAUAACAACAAUAAUAAAUCCAUUUGUAUUCACCGCCAAACCCUUGCUUUCUCGGAAAGCCUCUUGCUUUUGUUUUGGCGGAUCUUAAUUCGUUGGCCAGGCUUUGAGCUGGAGUUGUUGCAUUAGUGUGUUCUAUCGUAAGUGCUGAAAACCUGGAAUUUGCAGCAGCUGUGCUGGAUCUUGCUUCAGCUAUUUGUGAGUUGCAGAACUGGGCCCAGAAAAUCCCCACUGAAGAAGCCACUGCCCAGGACCCUGAGCAGUGGUCUGGCCUUCAGACAUAACUGGGUGCCUUCAGCAUCUAAUAUAAUUUGGGGACCGAAGAGAAAACCAUCCCAAAUCCUAAAAUGGUAGAGUUGUAUUGUAGUGGCUCCGAGUCGUAAAUUAAAGCCUUGCAUUUGAAACUUAUAAAGAACUCUGCCUGUUUUAUCCUGAGGGUAAUGAGGAAGAAUACUUCCCCCUAGAACCAUGUUAUAACACAAAAGCAUGAUAACAUCUCUCAGGAUUGCCUCAUCUGCAGAACACAUGAGGUUACUUUACAUUGCAGAAGAUUAUUGGGCCAUCUAGCCUAGGAUUAUCUGCCAUGACUAGCAGCUCUUCUUGGCUAGCGAACCCGGCUGCAUUCAAAUGCAGUGAUAAACUAUGGUUUACUGCUUUGUUAAUUACCCUGAGCCAUGAGUUCAUGCACACGUUUUCCCUCUCCUCUGGUGUAGUGCAUUCACUUCUUUAUAUAUAUAUUGUUGUUUAGUCGUGUCCGACUCUUCAUGACCCCAUGGACCAGAGCACACCAGGCACUCCUCUCUUCUACUUCCUCCCGCAGUUUGGUCAAAGUCAUGCUGGUAGCUUCAAGAACACUGUCCAACCAUCUCAUCCUCUGUCGUCCCCUUCUCCUUGUGCCCUCCCUCUUUCCCAACAUCAGGGUCUUUUCCAGGGAGUCUUCUCUUCUCAUGAGGUGGCCAAAGUAUUGGAGUCUCAGCUUCAGGAUCUGUCCUUCCAGGGAGCACUCAGGGCUGAUUUCCUUAAGAAUGGAUAGGUUUGAACUUCUUGCAGUCCAUGGGACUCUCAUGAGUCUCCUCCAGCACCAUAAUUCAAAAGCAUCAAUUCUUUGGCUAUUAGCCGUCUUUACGGUCCAGCUCUCACUUCUAUACAUCACUACUGGGGAAACCAUAGCUUUAACUAUACGGACCUUUGUCGGCAAGGUGAUGUCUCCGCUUUUUAAGAUGCUGUCUAGGUUUGUCAUUGCUUAAAGUAGGCCAGUUUAGCAUUAUGUCUGAAACCAGAUGAAAUGCCAUUACUCUUAACUACGGUUUACAGAAACAUGCUGACUUCAAACCAUGGUUUAUGCAGCUGUCUUGAUUUGAUGCACAGUUUGGGAUUCAGAUGUUUAUUGCUACAUUCAAACUUUGCCCCACUUCACCAGAAGAUGCCAUGAAUUGGGCCUGGAAUCUUUCAGGUGCAAAACAUAUUCUCUGCCAUGGAGCCAUGGUGCAGCCCUCCUGGAGACUGUGAUAUGCUUUAUGGAUCUUUUGCAAAAAGAUGUAGCAAGACUUAACACCUUGGAUUUAUUAUAGCUGUGCUUUGUCUCAGUAAUGUUUACAGUAACCCUGUGACUUGGGUCUGAAUUAUUAUUUUUCUGUUGUGAACUGGAGGGCUAUAACUGACAGUGUGUUGCUUAAGUCCCCCUAAUGAGUCAUGGCAAAAGGAUGAUCACAACCAGGAAAUUAUUGCCUUGCAGCUGUGUCUCUUAGCCAGCACCUUCUUGUAGAUCACGUUCACAAGUUUGGGGAAGGAAUGCAUCUUCUACCCAGUUCGGUGUCGGCUGAAGCCCCCUACCUCGUGCUGUUUUCAAGAACAGAGUAUUGCAAACAUCACCUUUCAAAGUCACCCAGCUAUCGCUAUCUUAAUGAUUAUACUCUAGCAUUUUUAUGUUGUCCUUUCAUUUUGUUUUUAAUGUGCACACGAUACCUUCGUAAGGUAUUUGCAACCUUUCCAAGUGUAGCCUUCUACCGUUUAAUAGUUUCAUAUUUUAUUGAAAGAAUUCAGUUGUUGUAGAAAGUAAGUGAUGAAAGAAAGAGUGAGAAUAAGUGCAAAAAAAUACAGUAAGGAAGAAAUACACUAAAUACAAUCAGUUGCACUUCCAUACAUUAUUAUGUACAUACUGUAUAUAAAUAACAUUGUUUUCCUAACACAUAAACUCUGGUUUCUCUU